rnacentral:rRNA from 1 species
CCUACGGGGGGCUGCAGUGGGGAAUCUUGCGCAAUGCGCGAAAGCGUGACGCAGCAACGCCGCGUGAGGGAAGACGGCCUUCGGGUUGUAAACCUCUUUCAGGAAGGACGAAGGUUUCACCGGUGAAUAGCCGGUGGGUUGACGGUACUUCCACAAGAAGCCCCGGCUAACUACGUGCCAGCAGCCGCGGUAAUACGUAGGGGGCAAGCGUUGUCCGGAAUCAUUGGGCGUAAAGCGCGCGUAGGUGGCCCAGUAAGUCCGUUGUGAAAGUCAAA